rnacentral:rRNA from 1 species
GACGAACGCUGGCGGCGUGCCUAAUACAUGCAAGUAGAACGCUGAAGGAGGAGCUUGCUUCUCUGGAUGAGUUGCGAACGGGUGAGUAACGCGUAGGUAACCUGCCUGGUAGCGGGGGAUAACUAUUGGAAACGAUAGCUAAUACCGCAUAAGAGUAGAUGUUGCAUGACAUUUGCUUAAAAGGUGCAAUUGCAUCACUACCAGAUGGACCUGCGUUGUAUUAGCUAGUUGGUGGGGUAACGGCUCACCAAGGCGACGAUACAUAGCCGACCUGAGAGGGUGAUCGGCCACACUGGGACUGAGACACGGCCCAGACUCCUGCGGGAGGCAGCAGUAGGGAAUCUUCGGCAAUGGACGGAAGUCUGACCGAGCAACGCCGCGUGAGUGAAGAAGGUUUUCGGAUCGUAAAGCUCUGUUGUAAGAGAAGAACGAGUGUGAGAGUGGAAAGUUCACACUGUGACGGUAUCUUACCAGAAAGGGACGGCUAACUACGUG